rnacentral:rRNA from 1 species
UGGGGAAUUUUGGACAAUGGGCGCAAGCCUGAUCAAGCCAUUCCGCAUGCAGGACUAAGGCCUUCGGGUUGUAAACUGCUUUUGUACGGAACGAAAAGCCCUUCUCUAAUACAGAGGGGUCAUGACGGUACCGUAAGAAUAAGCACCGUCUAACUACGUGCCAGCAGCCGCGGUAAUACGUAGGGUGCGAGCGUUAAUCGGAAUUACUGGGCGUAAAGCGUGCGCAGGCGGUUUUGUAAGACAGAGGUGAAAUCCCCGGGCUCAACCUGGGAACUGCCUUUGUAACUGCAAGGCUGGAGUGCGGCAGAGGGGGAUGGAAUUCCGCGUGUGGCAGUGAAAGGCGUAGAUAUGGGGAGGAACCCCGAUGGCGAAGGUAACCCCCGGGGCCAGGACUGACACUGAGUCACGAAAGAGUGAGGAACAAAC